rnacentral:rRNA from 1 species
GAUGAACGCUAGCGGCAGGCUUAAUACAUGCAAGUCGAACGGGAUUUAGGAGCUUGCUUCUAAUGAGAGUGGCGCACGGGUGAGUAACACGUACACAAUCUACCUUGUACAGGGGGAUAGCCUUGGGAAACUGAGAAUAAUACCCCAUAGUUUUAAUUUAUCGCAUGAUAGAUUAAAUAAAGCUGAGGCGGUACAAGAUGAGUGUGCGGAUGAUUAGGUAGUUGGAGAGGUAACGGCUCCCCAAGCCGACGAUCAAUAACUGGUCUGAGAGGAUGAUCAGUCACACGGGAACUGAGACACGGUCCCGACUCCUACGGGAGGCAGCAGUAGGGAAUAUUGGGCAAUGGAGGCAACUCUGACCCAGCCACGCCGCGUGGAGGAUGAAGGUGCUAUGCAUCGUAAACUUCUUUUGUCAAGGGAGAAAGUGCUUGAUUUAUCGAGUUUUGACGGUACUUGGCGAAUAAGCAUCGGCUAACUACGUGCC